CAUCUUGUGGGCUUUUGUGCGGCUAAUUAGUCAGCACGUCCUUAUCGCUGGGAGGAUCUCCCUUGGCUCCAGUCACAGAGGAACACCUCUGCUUUGCUUGCGGCCAGGACUGCUGCACAGCCUUGCUCUCUGCUCUCUGGACUGGAACAUGGCAGUUGGCUCCAUACCACAAAAGCAGGGUGAACCAAUUAGUCCUUUGAAAAGCACUUAGAGAGCAUGAACUGAAGAGACUAUGACUGGAAGGCAUUUUUUUUUUUUUUUUGUGGGAAUACUGUGGGUAAGACUUCCAGGGAUCAGCUUCCUAAAAUGAGUGAGAAAAAGAAGGGUUGGGUUCAGUAUGCUAAUGCUUUUGUCUUCGUGCAAAGACUAGCACAUAGAAGAAAAUUGUUGCUGCAGUGUAAGCAUCAAGAAAUACAUUCAAAUAAGGGUCUAAUAUUUACUGGAACUGUAGCAAUACUUGCAAGACUACAUGGACACACAAGACUGCAGUGUGCUCCCUUGAGGGAGCUCCCUUUGUCUGUCAGUGAUUUCCCUGUAAUGCUUGUGGCUUCUCCAUGCUGGAGGGGACUCAAGGAGCCAGUGUUGUUCAUGCCCAAAGUGCUCACCUUCACCCUCAGACUGAUCCUACAAAGGGCAACAUCAUCUUGGUGGCUGUGCCCCUCUGGGUGCUCAUCAUCAGCCUUCAAAAAGUGGUACCACCAUGGUUGAGUUACUCUAAACACCUUCUGUACUGAGAACUACAAAACCAACUGAUGAGCAAGAGCAAAGCUUGCCAAAACCUAAGUCCCAGCCCCAAUAUAUGCUCCUUACUCUCAAUGUAUUUUUAGGGUGGUCAAAUACAGUGCUUUAAUGAGUUUAAGACAAAUUUGAAUAGCAGGCAUUUGUGACAUGGGUACUGAAACCAGAUCAUGGCCAUGGAGAUACCAAGUGCCUUCAAAGUGUAAAGAAAAGCAGGUGAUGCACUCAAAACCAGGGACACUCUCCAAAGCAAGUAUCUCUCACUUCUUUUGUUACUGAUCAGUGCUUCUUUCAAGAGAAAAUGAAAAAUAAUAAUUAUUGCAAUGAUUGAUAUUUUUCUUUUCAUCAAUUAAAUAAUAUUCAUCUAAGCUCCUCUUGCAAAA
rnacentral:lncRNA from 1 species